rnacentral:rRNA from 1 species
CAGUCGAACGAAGAUUUAAGAAUGAGAGCUUCGGCAGGAAUUUUUCUUAUCUUAGUGGCGGACGGGUGAGUAACGUGUGGGCAACCUGCCCUGCACUGGGGAAUAAUCAUUGGAAACGAUGACUAAUACCGCAUACGGUUCCUGGGAGGCAUCUUCCGGGAAAGAAAGGAUUUAUUCGGUGCAGGAUGGGCCCGCAUCUGAUUAGCUAGUUGGUGAGAUAACAGCCCACCAAGGCGACGAUCAGUAGCCGACCUGAGAGGGUGACCGGCCACAUUGGGACUGAGACACGGCCCAAACUCCUACGGGAGGCAGCAGUGGGGAAUGUUGCACAAUGGGCGAAAGCCUGAUGCAGCAACGCCGCGUGAAGGAAGAAGGGUUUCGGCUCGUAAACUUCUAUCAACAGGGACGAAAGAAAUGACGGUACCUGAAUAAGAAGCCCCGGCUAACUACGUGCCAGCAGCCGCGGUAAUACGUAGGGGGCAAGCGUUAUCCGGAAUUACUGGGUGUAAAGGGUGAGUAGGCGGCAUGGUAAGCCAGAUGUGAAAGCCUUGGGCUUAACCCGAGGAUUGCAUUUGGAACUAUCAAGCUAGAGUACAGGAGAGGAAAGCGGAAUUCCUAGUGUAGCGGUGAAAUGCGUAGAUAUUAGGAAGAACACCAGUGGCGAAGGCGGCUUUCUGGACUGAAACUGACGCUGAGGCACGAAAGCGUGGGGAGCGAACAGGAUUAGAUACCCUGGUAGUCCACGCCGUAAACGAUGAGUGCUAGGUGUCGGGGAGGAAUCCCCGGUGCCGCAGCUAACGCAAUAAGCACU